GGGAAUAUGGCUUAGUGGUAGAGUGCUUGCCUAUCAUGCAGGAAGCAUUGGGUUCAAUCCCUCAGUACCA
rnacentral:tRNA from 1 species